CGCGGGGGUUGGCAUGGGCGCACCCUGAUCCAGCCUGCCGCGUGUGUGAUGAAGGCCUUCGGGUUGUAAGCUCUUUUAUCGGGAACGAAACUUGUCGGUCAAUACCCGGCACGACUGACGGUUCCCGGCGAACAACCACCGGCUAACUCCGUGCCAGCAGCCGCGGUAAU
rnacentral:rRNA from 1 species